rnacentral:rRNA from 1 species
GAUGAACGCUGGCGGCGUGCUUAACACAUGCAAGUCGAGCGAGAAGUUUUGAAAAGAUUCUUCGGAUGAAAUUUAAAAUGGAAAGCGGCGGACGGGUGAGUAACGCGUAGGCAACCUGCCCCAUACAAAGGGAUAGCAUUUGGAAACGAAUAUUAAUACCUUAUGAAACUUAACUAGUGCAUGCUAGGUAGGUCAAAGAUUUAUCGGUAUGGGAUGGGCCUGCGUCUGAUUAGCUAGUUGGUGAGGUAACGGCUCACCAAGGCGACGAUCAGUAACCGACCUGAGAGGGUGAACGGCCACAUUGGAACUGAGACACGGUCCAAACUCCUACGGGAGACAGCAGUGGGGAAUAUUGCACAAUGGGGGAAACCCUGAUGCAGCAACGCCGCGUGAACGAUGAAGGCCUUUGGGUCGUAAAGUUCUGUUCUAGGUGAUGAAAACUGACAGUAACCUAGGAGAAAGCCCCGGCUAACUCCGUG